AUCAACCGAGAUUCCGCUAGUAGUGGCGAGCGAACGCGGAAGAGGCCAAACCGGAGGUAGCAAUAUUUCCGGGGUUAGGACUGCAAUAUGUAACUUUAAUCUUUAACUGAAUGCUUUGGGAAGAGCAGCAAUAUAGGGUGAUAGCCCCGUAAGUGAAAAGGAUUGAGUGCUAGCAGUAUCCAGAGUACCAGCGGACACGUGAAACCCGCUGGGAAGAUGGGGGGACCAUCCUCCAAGCCUAAAUACUACUCAGUGACCGAUAGUGGAGCAGUACCGUGAGGGAAAGGUGAAAAGUACCCCGGGAGGGGAGUGAAAAAGAACCUGAAACCUUGUGCCUACAAGCACCGAGAGUCCGUUAAAGGAUGAUCGGGUACUUUUUGUAGAACGGUCCGGCGAGUUAAUAUUUGCAGCGAGGUUAAGGAACUGGAGUUCCGGAGCCGCAGCGAGAGCGAGUCUGAAAAGGGCGUAUGAAGUUGCAGGUAUUAGACCCGAAACCGGGUGACCUAUCCAUGAGCAGGCUGAAGCGGUGGUAAGACACCGUGGAGGGCCGCACCCACGUCUGUUGAAAAAGCCGGGGAUGACUUGUGGAUAGCGGAGAAAUUCCAAUCGAACUCGGAGAUAGCUGGUUCUCCUCGAAAUAGCUUUAGGGCUAGCCUUGUUUAGUAGCAUGUGGAGGUAAAGCACUGAAUAUGUGAGGGUUCUUACCAGAAUACCGAUCAUUAUCAAACUCUGAAUGCCAUGUGUGUAAGAACAGGAGUCAGACAGUGACAGCUAAGUGCCAUUGUCAAAAGGGAAAGAGCCCAGACCAACAGCUAAGGUCCCAAAAUUGUAGUUAAGUGGAAAAGGAUGUGGGAAUUCAUAGACAACCAGGAUGUUGGCUCAGAAGCAGCCAUUCAUUUAAAGAGUGCGUAAAAGCUCACUGGUCGAAGUAGGCCUGCGCCGAAAAUUACCGGGGCUAAACUACAUACCGAAGCUUUGGAUUUGGUACGUAAAGUAUUAAGUGGUAGAGGAGCGUUGUAUAAAGGUUGAAGCUAUACUGAAAAGAGUAGUGGACGAUAUACAAGAGAGAAUGCCGGAAUAAGUAGCGAGAGCACAGUGAGAAUCUGUGCCGCCGAAAACCUAAGGUUUCCUGGGGAAGGUUCGUCCGCCCAGGGUAAGUCGGGACCUAAGACGAGGCUAAAGCAGCGUAGUCGAUGGAAAGCAGGUAAAAGAUUCCUGCACUACCGAAAUGCGAUAUACAAUAUAUCAUGACGCAUCAGAGGAGUCUAAGCGAGCAAAUGGAAAAGUUCGUACCGCAAGGUGGAGUGAAAAAAUAGUAGCGAAGUAGACAAAUCAGGUGACAAGAAAAGUGAUAUAGGAGCAUAGAGGUACUCGUACCGUAAACCGACACAGGUGGGAAGAAAGAGAAUUUUCAGGCGAACGAGAGAAUCAUUGUUAAGGAACUCGGCAAAUUAACCCCGUAACUUAGGGAUAAGGGGAGCCAAUAGCGAUAUUGGUCGCAGAGAAAUGGCCCAAGCAACUGUUUAGCAAAAACACAGGUUUCUGCCAAAUCGAAAGAUGAAGUAUAGGAGCUGACGCCUGCCCAGUGCUGGAAGGUCAAGGGGAAGAGUAAACGUUUCGAUGUGAAGCUCUGAACUUAAGCCCCAGUGAACGGCGGCCGUAACUAUAACGGUCCUAAGGUAGCGAAAUUCCUUGUCAGGUAAG
rnacentral:rRNA from 1 species